UUGUGAGAAAUUUUUUGUCUUGUGAACAGGAAAUUAAAUGUCAGGAAAAAUGCCAUGACUCUUCACAGCACAGUAUUAAAAGCAUUCAGAAUAACAUUCCCAGUACUGGACUUGCACCAAGGUAAUAAUGAAAUUUUUUUUAAUGGUAAUUUAAUACUUACUUUCUUUCUGCUCUUUUGCACAUCUCUGUAUUCUCGGAUCAGAGCAUCAUGCAUCUGCUGGUAUACAUCCACAAAGUCAUCCAGCCUUGUGAGACGUCUGCGUUGAAAUCGAAUUUUUUUCAGGUCCCACUGACUCUUCUCCAUAAUGCCUUGAGUGCGGUUGGCUAAAGUGUAGUUCUGAAAAUAGAAAUUAAUUAAUUUUCAUGUAGUUGAAAACAUUGUAAAGUUUAAACUUUCUUUGCUGAAAAAACUUACCUGUUUCUUCAGUUGAGAAAAGUGGCAAUACCGCUUGCUCAGAUCAUCAUAUGGUGGACCUUGCCCAUGACGUCCAAGAUCCCCUAAAAAGACAAACAGAGUAAUUUAUUAAGUAAAUAAAAAAUUUUAGACAAAUUUUUAAGUCAGUAAUAGAGGAUAAACAACAAAAGUAAUCAGUUAUACCUAGCAGCAUUCCAGACCACAGGGUAGCAUGUGGCAGAAAGUAUUUUGAAAUACUGGAAAUGAAUGAUGGUGCAUAAUACACGUUUUUUUCUCCAGAAAUAUCCAGGGGGGCAUUUGUAAUGAUCUUCACGAAAUGUUGUUGUAGCGACGUCGUACCUAUGUCCACCUGGAAUAACAAUGGUCACGGGGGACUGGAGCCUAGGGGAGUCAUAUGGCGACAGACAGAGUACACCCUGCACAGAUGAUGCAGAUUGUGAUGGAGAAACUGCAGUUUGUGGGUUUUCCGCUGGAACUGAAACACUUUGGACAGUCCCAUUGCUUGCACUGUCUUCCAAAACGUCCUUCAAAGAUGAGAUCCAUCAUGUUAUUAAAAAAAGCAUAAUUUCUGAAUACAUCAGUGCGUACACCAAAAAUAAUAGAAUACAGAAAAUCCAACCUGUUGGGAGGAAUACAGGGCGUCCUCUUUGGAAGGUGCAGACACCUUAAAAUCAGCGUCAUCAACUUCCUCCUGAGUGUUUACAAUUUAAAAUUUUAAAAGAGUAGAAAAAAGAUAAUGGCCAUGAGAAUGGGUGAUUGACAUGCCAACUGAAUGACAAAAAAGACUGAAUAUUUCCCAUUAUAUUAAACCAUACACACCAGAGAAGGGCUCUUUUCUGCAUAGGUGUGGCCCUCAACUUCUGUUUGGAUCACCUGAAUCCUCUGUUAGUUAAGGAGUAAUUACUUGAUUGUAAAUCAUACA